GACGAACGCUGGCGGCGUGCUUAACACAUGCAAGUCGAACGCUGAAGCACCAUCUUGCGGGUGUGGAUGAGUGGCGAACGGGUGAGUAAUACGUGAGUAACCUGCCCUUGACUCUGGGAUAAGCCCGGGAAACUGGGUCUAAUACUGGAUGCUACAUGUCACCGCAUGGUGGUGUGUGGAAAGUGUUUACUGGUCUUGGAUGGGCUCACGGCCUAUCAGCUUGUUGGUGAGGUAAUGGCUCACCAAGGCGACGACGGGUAGCCGGCCUGAGAGGGUGACCGGCCACACUGGGACUGAGACACGGCCGAGACUCCUACGGGAGGCAGCAGUGGGGAAGAUUGCACAAUGGGCGAAAGCCUGAUGCAGCGACGCUGCGUGAGGGAUGACGGCCUUCGGGUUGUAAACCCCUUUCAGCAGGGAAGAAGCCACAAGUGACGGUACCUGCAGAAGAAGCGCCGGCUAACUACGUG
rnacentral:rRNA from 1 species